GACGAACGCUGGCGGCGUGCUUAACACAUGCAAGUCGAACGGAAAGGCCCUGCUUUUGUGGGGUGCUCGAGUGGCGAACGGGUGAGUAACUCGUGAGUAACCUGCCCUUGACUUUGGGAUAACUUCAGGAAACUGGGGCUAAUACCGGAUAGGAGCUCCUGCUGCAUGGUGGGGGUUGGAAAGUUUCGGCGGUUGGGGAUGGACUCGCGGCUUAUCAGCUUGUUGGUGGGGUAGUGGCUUACCAAGGCUUUGACGGGUAGCCGGCCUGAGAGGGUGACCGGCCACAUUGGGACUGAGAUACGGCCCAGACUCCUACGGGAGGCAGCAGUGGGGAAUAUUGCACAAUGGGCGGAAGCCUGAUGCAGCAACGCCGCGUGCGGGAUGACGGCCUUCGGGUUGUAAACCGCUUUCGCCUGUGACGAAGCGUGAGUGACGGUAAUGGGUAAAGAAGCACCGGCUAACUACGUGCCAGCAGCCGCGGCGAUACGUAGGGUGCGAGCGUUGUCCGGAUUUAUUGGGCGUAAAGGGCUCGUAGGUGGUUGAUCGCGUCGGAAGUGUAAUCUUGGGGCUUAACCCUGAGCGUGCUUUCGAUACGGGUUGACUUGAGGAAGGUAGGGGAGAAUGGAAUUCCUGGUGGAGCGGUGGAAUGCGCAGAUAUCAGGAGGAACACCAGUGGCGAAGGCGGUUCUCUGGGCCUUUCCUGACGCCGAGGAGCGAAAGCGUGGGGAGCGAACAGGCUUAGAUACCCUGGUAGUCCACGCUGUAAACGGUGGGUACUAGGUGUGGGGUCCAUUCCACGGGUUCCGUGCCGUAGCUAACGCUUUAAGUACCCCGCCUGGGGAGUACGGCCGCAAGGCUAAAACUCAAAGGAAUUGACGGGGCCCCGCACAAGCGGCGGAGCAUGCGGAUUAAUUCGAUGCAACGCGUAGAACCUUACCUGGGUUUGACAUGGAUCGGGAGUGCUCAGAGAUGGGUGUGCCUCUUUUGGGGUCGGUUCACAGGUGGUGCAUGGCUGUCGUCAGCUCGUGUCGUGAGAUGUUGGGUUAAGUCCCGCAACGAGCGCAACCCUUGUUCACUGUUGCCAGCACGUUAUGGUGGGGACUCAGUGGAGACCGCCGGGGUCAACUCGGAGGAAGGUGGGGAUGACGUCAAGUCAUCAUGCCCCUUAUGUCCAGGGCUUCACGCAUGCUACAAUGGCUGGUACAGAGAGUGGCGAGCCUGUGAGGGUGAGCGAAUCUCGGAAAGCCGGUCUCAGUUCGGAUUGGGGUCUGCAACUCGACCUCAUGAAGUCGGAGUCGCUAGUAAUCGCAGAUCAGCAACGCUGCGGUGAAUACGUUCCCGGG
rnacentral:rRNA from 1 species